rnacentral:rRNA from 1 species
UUCCGGUUGAUCCCGCCGGAGGCCAUUGCUAUCGGUGUCCGAUUUAGCCAUGCGAGUUGCACGUUUAACGUAGCAAACUGCUCAGUAACACGUGGCCAAACUGCCCUAUGGAUCGGGAUAACCUCGGGAAACUGAGGCUAAUCCCGAAUAGUACAUCCAGCCUGGAAAUGGCGGAUGUAUGAAACGCUCCGGCGCCAUAGGAUGUGGCUGCGGCCGAUUAGGUAGACGGUGGGGUAACGGCCCACCGUGCCGAUAAUCGGUACGGGUCAUGAGAGUGAGAGCCCGGAGACGGACUCUGAGACACGAGUCCGGGCCCUACGGGGCGCAGCAGGCGCGAAACCUUUACACUGCACGACAGUGCGAUAGGGGGACACCGAGUGCGAGGGCAUAGAGCCCUCGCUUUUGUAGACCGCAAGGAGGUCUACGAAUAAGGGCUGGGCAAGACCGGUGCCAGCCGCCGCGGUAACACCGGCAGCCCAAGUGAUGGCCGAUAUUAUUGGGCCUAAAGCGUCCGUAGCUGGCCGCACAAGUCCGUCGGGAAAUCCACUCGCUUAACGAGUGGGCGUCCGGCGGAAACUGUGCGGCUUGGGACCGGAAGAUCCAAGGGGUACGUCCGGGGUAGGAGUGAAAUCCCGUAAUCCUGGACGGACCACCGAUGGCGAAAGCACCUUGGAAGGACGGAUCCGACAGUGAAGGACGAAAGCUAGGGUCUCAUACCGGAUUAGAUACCCGGUUAGUCCUAGCCGUAAACGAUGCUCGCUAGGUGUGGCGAAGGCUACAAGCCUGCGCUGGGCCGAAGGGAAAGCCGGAAGCGAGCCCCCUGGGGAGUACGUCUGCAAGGAUGAAACUUAAAAGGAUUUGCGGGGCAACACAAGGGCG